UCUUCUGAUUUGUUAUUGGAGGGACGAGACUUGCCUUAGAACAGAAACGUAUGCAAGCAAAUCCUUGCUAGAACCUUGUUGCUACACCUGGAAGACUUACAGAUCAUGUGAAGAAUAUUGCUGGCUUUGCAACUCGGCUGAUGGGUGUGAAAGUGUUGGUGCUCGAUGAAGUUGAUCAUUUACUGGACAUGGGAUUUCAGAAAGAUGUUUUGAAUACAGAGUUUAUAUUUUGAAUUAUAGUUUAUGUAUCAAUGGACUUUGUUGAUGUAUGGUUAUUACUUAUUAUUAUAAUUGAUGUAUCAAUACACUUUGUUUAUGUUUUGAAUUAUAUUGACUUGCUUGUUUAUAGUA